AUUGAACGCUGGCGGCAGGCCUAACACAUGCAAGUCGAGCGCGCGGCGGACGGGUGAGUAAUGUCUGGGAAACAGUCCGAUGUAGGGGGAUAACUACUGGAAAAGGUAGAUAAUACCGCAUAUCCUCAGAUGUGCCCCGAUGGGAUUAGCUAGUGGGGGGGGUAAUGGCUCACCUAGGCGACGAUCCCUAGCUGGUCUGAGAGGAUGACCAGCCACACUGGAACUGAGCCACGGUCCAGACUCCUACGGGAGGCAGCAGUGGGGAAUAUUGCACAAUGGGCGCAAGCCUGAUGCAGCCAUGCCGCGUGUAUGAAGAAGGCCUUCGGGUUGUAAAGUACUUUCAGCGAGGAGGCGUUACUCGCAGAAGAAGCACCGGCUAACUCCGUGCCAGCAGCCGCGGUAAUUC
rnacentral:rRNA from 1 species